UACGGAGGGGGCUAGCGUUGUUCGGAAUUACUGGGCGUAAAGGGCGCGUAGGCGGCCGAUCAAGUCGGGGGUGAAAGCCUGUGGCUCAACCACAGAAUUGCCUUCGAUACUGUUUGGCUUGAGACCGGAAGAGGUUAGUGGAACUGCGAAGUGUAGAGGUGAAAUUCGUAGAUAUUCGCAAGAACACCAGUGGCGAAGGCGGCUGACUGGUCCGGUUUC
rnacentral:rRNA from 1 species